GACGAACGCUGGCGGCGUGCUUAACACAUGCAAGUCGAACGGAAAGGCCCUGCUUUUGUGGGGUGCUCGAGUGGCGAACGGGUGAGUAACACGUGAGUAACCUGCCCUUGACUUUGGGAUAACUUCAGGAAGCUGGGGCUAAUAUCGGAUAGGAGCUCCUGCUGCAUGGUGGGGGUUGGAAAGUUUGGGCGGGGGGGGAUGGACUCGCGGCUUAUCAGCUUGUUGGUGGGGUAGUGGAUUACCAAGGCUUUGACGGGUAGCCGGCCGGGGAGGGUGACCGGCCACAUUGGGACUGAGAUACGGCCCAGACUCGUACGGGAGGCAGCAGUGGGGAAUAUUGCACAAUGGGAGGAAGCCUGAUGCAGAAACGCCGCGUGCGGGAUGACGGCCUUCGGGUUGUAAACCGCUUUCGCCUGUGACGAAGCGUGAGUGACGGUAAUGGGUAAAGAAGCACCGGCUAACUACGUG
rnacentral:rRNA from 1 species